GAUGAACGCUGGCGGCGUGCCUAAUACAUGCAAGUCGAGCGAACAGACGAGGAGCUUGCUCCUCUGACGUUAGCGGCGGACGGGUGAGUAACACGUGGAUAACCUACCUAUAUGACUGGUAUAACUUCGGGAAACCGGAGCUAAUACCGGAUAAUAUAUUGAACCGCAUGGUUCAAUAGUGAAAGACGGUUUUGCUGUCACUUAUAGAUGGAUCCGCUCCGCAUUAGCUAGUUGGUAAGGUAACGGCUUACCAAGGCAACGAUGCGUAGCCGACCUGAGAGGGUGAGCGGCCACACUGGAACUGAGACACGGUCCAGACUCCUACGGGAGGCAGCAGUAGGGAAUCUUCCGAAAUGGGCGAAAGCAUGACGGAGCAACGCCGCGUGAGUGAUGAAGGUCUUCGGAUCGUAAAACUCUGUUAUUAGGGAAGAACAAAUGUGUAAGUAAAUAUGCACGUAUUGACGGUACCUAAUCAGAAAGCCACGGCUAACUACGUG
rnacentral:rRNA from 1 species